UAAUUUGAUAUAUAUAUGUUUAAACUCGAAUUAGAGAUGAAUUUUCCUCUUCUACGAUCAUUUUUUUCAUACAAACUUGCAUAUUGUGAUUUAGCUUAAAAGAUGAUUAGUUGAUUUCACCUCAUAGCUUAUGCGAAAGUGGUUCUUUGGGGUUAUUUUGUGAAGCAUUUAUUAUAAGAAAAAAAAUUUGUGUAGUUUAAUUUUGUUUAUGUUCGAAGGAAUAUGAUUGUUGGUUUUUCUGGAAAACUAUUGUCAACUAUGAUUCAUGAUGAAGCUGUAUGUGUCCUUCAUUAGAAAAUAAGAAUACAGUUCGAUAGUUGUCUUUUGAGGUCACUGAUUGUUUCAUUAGCAGGAUUUUUUUUUUCUGUCUCUUUGACUUUCUAAUGUAGUAUUUUAUCUUAUGUUUACUGAGAUUGACUGGUUUAAGAAUCUCAUUUCUGUUACGAGCCGUGUUAUUUGUUGAAUCGUACUGCAUGUCGUGUAUUUCUAAUGUAAACAAGUAGAAAUACUUGUUAUAUAAGCUGGCUGUCUUGAUCACAUAGCUAGAAUAGCACUUGUUUCCCACUAUAUCUUGCCAAAAGAGAGAUUUCUAGAAACCAGUUGCUAAAACAUUAUAUUGUGGAAAUGUCAUAAAUCUAGCAUAGCUUGAUUCUUCUGUCGGCUCGCAUGUUGAAGCAACAAGGAGAGAAAUGAGCUAUUAUUACUUACAAUAGCCUAGUCAGAGACUGCAAUAUCAUGUCGUACGAUAUGGAGUUUCCCUGUUGCUAAAAUAUACAAGCAAUUUGUACUUCUUUACACUUGCAUAUUUUGCCAUAGAGGUAGUCAUGUAAAACAAUAAGGAAUAAUUUCUUCCUGUGGGUUUCCUGGAGCAAUUAUGUUAUUAUGUAUGAUGGAAAGUUUGAGAAUAAUGUUUGGUUUGGGCACUGAAACUGGAAUGGUAGUAAUCUAUGUCCUACAUUGCUUGCUUUUCCCUCACAUUCACUCAAUUCAUUAAAAUUUUGGCAUCUACAGACUUUGGUUGGUCUUAAAGCUUAUGGUACCUAGAUACUUCUAAUCUGAAGCGGUACCUGUACUGGACAACUUAUUUGUACCCAAACUCCUUGGACACUCCUUGCAUAUAUGUAUACAUUUAUUCAGGCAUGUACUCAAUUAUACAGUCCAUGUUUUAAAUAAAACACCUGUCAUACAUUUUUUGGACUUAUAUCCUACACUUUUGAUCCACUUCUUGAAGCUCGUUGGACUCGUUGGUCAUAUGUUAGAUUCCAAAUUAUGAUUUUAAGGUUUGUCUGGAUGUCUAGUUCAAAAUCUAGUGAUUUUUCCAAUCUAUAAUCCAUAUAAUAAAAGAAACAUAAAAAUGCUAUAGAAAUUUUAAUUAUCAUCGUUGUUCUCAUAUAAAUUAUUAGUUCCAAUAAUAACAUAUGUGUAUAAUAUAUAGAUAUUUAUAUAGCCAUGUCCUUGUACCUACCUUUUACAAAUUUUCUGUGUCCUGUACCCAUACCCGUAACCAUGCAACAUAGCUCAAAGCCAUUGUUCAGACUUGCAUAGGAUUCUCCAGUGUCUAUGCUAAAUGUAUCUUUUAUACUCCAAUUGCAGACUGUAGCAGUCAACUUGGAUGUAUUAGUCUUAUAGAAAAAAAUCAGGAAUGGGUUAAGAUUUUACUUUCAAGGCUCAAGAAAGUAGAGGAAACAUUGGUUAAAGCCAAGAUGUAUGGAAGAUAAACAGGAGACUAUGGUUCCGUUGGAGAAUUUUCGAAAAGGGGUAUCAUGAUAAAAGCCUUCAUUUUCUUCGAAGUUUAGUUAUUUUUUAUUAAUAAUAAGAUAUUAUAUGUGAAUAUCUAAUCCAAAUAUCUUAUUAAGUUUUUGUCGAGGUUGCUGACAGUUUUUUUUCUUGGCUUAUUACCUUACCCACGAGAUGGACCAUUAAGAUCUGUAUGAACUGAUGAUAUGGCUUGUGUGACGAAGUAAUUGGCAUGAUAUCAAUUAUCAAGAUUGAACCAUGGGUCUUUGAAGGUCUUAGAGUGAACAAAGAAUCCAAUCUAUUUCUGAAAUAAAAAUUUUCAACUUUUGACUGCUUUCUGAUAUACUCGAAUUAAAUUCUUAGUGACAACUGCUACCGCUAACUCUUUAACUAUUGUUCCAAUCUCUGAGUCGUCCUUAACAGACAAUUUCUGUUGCCUCCUUAGUUUAUAUCAACUAAAAACAUUAAUCUACCUCCAAACUCUUCAAGUAGUGUUAUACCUAGAUCACAAGGAUCGACUAUUAAAUGCUGCAGCUAUCAAAUAUAUGACAGCGUAACGGUUUUACCUGAAUAUCAUGGACCAAUUCAACUUUUGAUUAAAAAAAGCGCAAUUACAUGAUUUGUAUUUUUCUUUUUCUUCUUAA